rnacentral:tRNA from 1 species
GCCCGGAUGGUGGAAUUGGUAGACGCGCUGGACUCAAAAUCCAGUGAUGGCAACAUCGUGAGAGUUCGAGUCUCUCUCCGGGCA